rnacentral:rRNA from 1 species
UAGGGAAUCUUCGNCAAUGGACGGAAGUCUGACCGAGCAACGCCGCGUGAGUGAAGAAGGUUUUCGGAUCGUAAAGCUCUGUUGUAAGAGAAGAACGAGUGUGAGAGUGGAAAGUUCACACUGUGACGGUAUCUUACCAGAAAGGGACGGCUAACUACGUGCCAGCAGCCGCGGUAAUACGUAGGUCCCGAGCGUUGUCCGGAUUUAUUGGGCGUAAAGCGAGCGCAGGCGGUUAGAUAAGUCUGAAGUUAAAGGCUGUGGCUUAACCAUAGUACGCUUUGGAAACUGUUUAACUUGAGUGCAAGAGGGGAGAGUGGAAUUCCAUGUGUAGCGGUGAAAUGCGUAGAUAUAUGGAGGAACACCGGUGGCGAAAGCGGCUCUCUGGCUUGUAACUGACGCUGAGGCUCGAAAGCGUGGGGAGCAAACAGGAUUAGAUACCCUGGUAGUCCACGCCGUAAACGAUGAGUGCUAGGUGUUAGACCCUUUCCGGGGUUUAGUGCCGCAGCUAACGCAUUAAGCACUCCGCCUGGGGAGUACGACCGCAAGGUUG